rnacentral:rRNA from 1 species
GGGCACCACCAGGAGUGGAGCCUGCGGCUUAAUUUGACUCAACACGGGAAAACUCACCCGGCCCGGACACUAGGAGGAUUGACAGACUGACUAGCUCUUUCUUGUUUCAGUGGGUGGUGGUGCAUGGCCGUUCUUAGUUGGUGGAGCGAUUUGUCUGGUUAAUUCCGAUAACGAACGAGACUCUAGCCUACUAGUUAGCCGGCCCGGUCGUUAUGCGCCCGGGCAGCGAGCUUCUUAGAGGGACAGACGGCGAGUGAGCCGUACGAGAUAGAGCAAUAACAGGUCUGUGAUGCCCUUAGAUGUCCGGGCUGCACGCGCGCUACACUGAAGGAAUCAGCGUGUGUUCCCUACCCGAAAAGGUUGGGAAACCCGUUGAACCUCCUUCAUGAUGGGGAUUGGGGAUUGCAAUUAUUCCUCAUGAACGAGGAAUUCCCAGUAGGCGCGAGUCAUAAGCUCGCGUCGAUUACGUCCCUGCCCUUUGUACACACCGCCCGUCGCUACUACCGAUCUAGUUAUUUC